rnacentral:rRNA from 1 species
GUCAAGUGAAGAAGAGUCUAUGGUGGAUGCCUUGGAGCCACCUGGCGAAGAAGGCCGUGGUAAGCUGCGAAAAGCAUCGGGGAGGAGCACACAUCCUACGAUCCGGUGAUUGCCGAAUGGGGUAACCCGGCUGGCGUUAUGGCCAGUCAUCUGUAUCUGAACACAUAGGAUAUGGAAGCUAGACCCGGGGAACUGAACCAUCUCAGUACCCGGAGGAGUAGAAAUCAACCGAGAUUCCCGGAGUAGCGGCGAGCGAAACGGGAGAAGCCCAAACCAUCUUUGAUGGGGUUGUAGGGCGCAUCAUUGUGAAGUCAGAAAUCGUAUUGGUAGUGGAAUGCUACUGGGAAGGGCAACCAAAGAAGGUGACAGUCCUGUACACGAAACUGAUACGACUUCCGGUGCGUACCUGAGUAGGACGGCACACGUGAAACGCUGUCUGAAUCUGGGGGGACCACCCUCCAAGGCUAAAUACGUGGUGGCUACCGAUAGUGAAACAGUACCGUGAGGGAAAGGUGAAAAGGACCCCGGUGAGGGGAGUGAAAUAGAACCUGAAACCAUAGACUUACAAGCGGUCAGAGCCUUCUUUUAGAGGGUGAUGGCGUGCCUUUUGUAGAAUGGGCCUGCGAGUUACCGUACGAAGCAAGGUUAAGGUAUGGGAGUACCGAAGCCGGAGGGAAACCGAGUCUGAAUAGGGCGAAUAGUUUCGUGCGGUAGACCCGAAGCCGGGUGAUCUAUCCAUGGUCAGGAUGAAGCUGGGGUAAAACUCAGUGGAGGACCGAACCCUAGUCUGUUAAAAAAGGCAGGGAUGAACUGUGGAUCGGAGUGAAAGGCUAAUCAAACCCGGAGAUAGCUGGUUUUCGCCGAAAUAGCUUUAGGGCUAGCGUCUAUGGAGUCUUGCGGAGGUAGAGCACUGGUUGGACUAGGGCCCUUCACCGGGUACCAAACCCAGAUAAACUCCGAAUGCCGCAAGAUGCUCAUAGGCAGUCAGACUACGGGUGACAAGAUUCGUGGUCAAAAGGGAAACAGCCCAGACCGUCAGCUAAGGUCCCAAAACAUAGCUCAGUGGAAAAGGAAGUGUAGUGGCAAAGACAGCCAGGAGGUUGGCUUAGAAGCAGCCAUCCCUCGAACGAGUGCGUAAUAGCUCACUGGUCGAGUCACUAUGCGCCGACAAUGUAACGGGGCUAAGCUAUGUACCGAAGCUACGGAUUGUGUAGCAAUACACAGUGGUAGGCGAACAUUCCGGAGGCCGACGAAGGUAUCUCGUGAGGGGUGCUGGAGGUAACGGAAGUGAGGAUGCAGGCAUGAGUAACGAAAAGAGGGGUGAGAGUCCCCUCCGCCGAAAACCGAAGGGUUCCUGGGUAAAGGUCGUCUUCCCAGGGUUAGUCGGCCCCUAAGCCGAGGCCGAAAGGCGUAGGCGAUGGGAAACGGGUUCAUAUUCCCGUACCUCUGUAUGAGUUCGAGUGGGGUGACGCAUGAGGCAAAGUCCGGCCGGGCGACGGUAGUCCCGGUAUAAGCAGCGAGCUUGUGAGGAUGGUAGGCAAAUCCGCCAUCUGAGGUGAGCUGUGACGUCGAGCGGAGCUACGGCAAAGCGAAGCGGGUGGAGUCACGGUGACGAGAAAGAACCUCUCAGGUAGAUCAUACAGAGACCGUACCGCAAACCAACACAGGUCGGUAGGAUGAGUAUUCUCAGGCGCGCGGGAGAACUCGCGUUAAGGAACUCGGCAAAAUACAUACGUAACUUCGGGAUAAGUAUGGCCUCUGAAGGACAGCAAUGUUUGGAGGAGGUUGCAGAGAAGAGGCUCAGGCGACUGUUUACCAAAAACACAGGUCUGUGCGAAUCAGUAAUGAGACGUAUACGGACUGACACCUGCCCGGUGCCGGAAGGUUAAGAGGAGUGGUUAGCGUAUGCGAAGCUACGAAUUGAAGCCCCGGUAAACGGCGGCCGUAACUAUAACGGUCCUAAGGUAGCGAAAUUCCUUGUCGGGUAAGUUCCGACCCGCACGAAUGGUGUAACGAUCUGAGCGCUGUCUCAACGCGAGACCCGGUGAAAUUGAAGUAUCGGUGAAGAUGCCGAUUACCCGUGGUUAGACGGAAAGACCCCGUGAACCUUUACUGCAGCUUGGCACUGAAACUUGGUCAGUCAUGUGUAGGAUAGGAGGGAGACUUGGAAGCCUGUACGCCAGUAUGGGUGGAGUCGCUGGUGAAAUACCUCCCUUGGCUGAUUAGGUUUCUCACACCGACCCCUGAAGCGGGGCGGUGGACAGUGUCAGGUGGGCGGUUUGACUGGGGCGGUCGCCUCCUAAAGAGUAACGGAGGCGCGCGAAGGUUUCCUUGCGCUGGGUGGAAAUCAGCGUGUAUGUGCAAAGGCAUAAGGGAGCUUGACUGCGAGACAAACAAGUCGAGCAGGUGCGAAAGCAGGUCUUAGUGAUCUGGCGGUGGCGAGUGGAAGCGCCGUCACUUAACGGACAAAAGGUACUCCGGGGAUAACAGGCUGAUCCUGCCCAAGAGUUCAUAUCGACGGCAGGGUUUGGCACCUCGAUGUCGGCUCAUCGCAUCCUGGGGCUGGAGCAGGUCCCAAGGGUAUGGCUGUUCGCCAUUUAAAGCGGUACGUGAGCUGGGUUCAGAACGUCGCGAGACAGUUCGGUCCCUAUCUGCCACGGGCGUUGGAUGGUUGAGAGGAUCUGCCUUUAGUACGAGAGGACCGAGGUGGACGAACCUCUGGUGUACCAGUUAUCGUGCCAACGGUAAGUGCUGGGUAGCCAAGUUCGGACGGGAUAACCGCUGAAAGCAUCUAAGUGGGAAGCCCACCUCAAGAUGAACCAUCCCUUCUCCCUUGAGGAGACUAAAGAGACCAGACAGAUGAUCUGGUUGAUAGGCUGGAGGUCUACGCAUGGUAACAUGUUCAGCCGACCAGUACUAAUUUCUCGUGAGGCUUGACC